AACGAACGCUGGCGGCAUGCCUAACACAUGCAAGUCGAACGAGACCUUCGGGUCUAGUUGCGCACGUGUACGUAACGCGGGGGAACCUGCCCUUAGGUUCGGAAUAACUCCCCGAAAGGGGUGCUAAUACCGGAUAAUGUCUUCGGACCAAAGAUUUAUCGCCUUUGGAUGGGCCCGCGUUGGAUUAGCUAGUUGGUAGGGUAAAAGCCUACCAAGGCGAAGAUCCAUAGCUGGUAUGAGAGGAUGAUCAGCCACACUGGGACUGAGACACGGACCAGACUCGUACGGGAGGCAGCAGAGGAGAAUAUUAGACAAUGAGCGAGAGCCUGAUACAGCAAUGCCGCGUGAGUGAUGAAGGCCUUAGGGUUGUAAAGCUCUUUUACCCGGGAUGAUAAUGACAGUACCGGGAGAAUAAGCUCCGGCUAACUCCGUG
rnacentral:rRNA from 1 species